rnacentral:rRNA from 1 species
GAUGAACGCUGGCGGCGUGCCUAACACAUGCAAGUCGAACGGAGAUUCCGUACGUUUGUUUUCGGCUGGAAGCCUGUAAUUCUUAGUGGCGGACGUGUGAGUAACGCGUGUGCUACCUGCCCUAUACAGGGGGUUAGCAUCUGGAAACGGCUGGUCAGACCGCAUAAGUUGGUUAUAUCGCAUGUUUUUAUCUGGUAAUUGGCAUUCCGGUAUAGGAUGUGCCCGCGUCCGAUUUGCCAGUUGGCAGGGUAAAAGCCUACCAAAGCGACGAUCGGUAGCCGGAAAGGGAGGUAGGACGGCGAGAAUGGGACUGAGACACGGACGAAAAUACGACGGGAGGGAGGAGAGGAGGAUAAAGCAAAAUGGAGGAAAAUCUGAAGAAGCGACGCCGGGUGAGAGAAGAAGUAGGUCGGAAAGAAAAGCUGUAUCAGAAGGGAAGAGGAUGACGGUACCGGACUAAGAAGCACCGGCUAACUACAUG